rnacentral:rRNA from 1 species
GACCAAGGAUUCUAACACGUGCGCGAGUCGCAGGGCGGUACGAAACCCGAAGGCGCAAUGAAAGUGAAGGCCGGCCUCGCGCCGGCCUAGGUGGGAUCCCGUGGCGAGCGAUCGCGACGGGCGCACCACCGGCCCGUCUCGGCCGCGGCGUCGGCGAGGCGGAGCGAGAGCGUACUCGUUGGGACCCGAAAGAUGGUGAACUAUGCCUGAGUAGGACGAAGCCAGAGGAAACUCUGGUGGAGGUCCGCAGCGAUUCUGACGUGCAAAUCGAUCGUCAAACUUGGGUAUAGGGGCGAAAGACUAAUCGAACCAUC